CAGACAUGUGUACAUGCCUAAUUUUUAGGCCCUCUGGUGCUGCACUGUGGCUUCAAAACUUUUUUCACUGUUAUAGAUUGAAUAGCAGUUAGUUGUCUGCAAGCAUCAGAAAGUCACCCCCUUGCCCGGCGUCUGACACCUGGCUUGUCUGAACUAUUAGCCCGCCAGCUUUUACCAUACAAUCUGGUGGAGUCUGAGGCGUUCCAAAAAUUUGUAGCUAUUGGGACACCGCAGUGGAAGGUACCCGGC